AAUAUGGUGCUACAGUGAUAGGGCAAGUGCAAAUAAGUUCAAUAUAUGGGUACGGUCUAAAGCUAUUUUAAUUUUUUUAUUACAACUGCUAUGAAGAAAAUUAGGAUAUGCCAUAUUUUCACGUUUUACAGUUGGAUGUCCUAUGAUGUUCUCUUCCAGAGAACAGAGCUCGGAGCUCUGGAAAUUUGGAGGCAACUGAUAUGUGCUCAUGUCUGCAUCUGUGUGGGUUGGCUGUAUCUCAGGGACAGAGUCUGCAGCAAAAAAGAUAUAAUUUUGAGGACUGAACAAAAUUCAGGAAGGACUAUUCUCAUUAAGGGUGUGAGGAGCAGAUGUCCAACAGCUACCUUGCAACCCUGAGGCAACAAAGCAUGCAGAUAAAGGCCAUUAUACUGAGGAUGGACCUGGGACCCUGAGGACAUUUUGGGACUGGUCUUU
rnacentral:lncRNA from 1 species